rnacentral:rRNA from 1 species
GACGAACGCUGGCGGCGUGCUUAACACAUGCAAGUCGAACGGAAAGGCCCUGCUUUUGUGGGGUGCUCGAGUGGCGAACGGGUGAGUAACACGUGAGUAACCUGCCCUUGACUUUGGGAUAACUUCAGGAAACUGGGGCUAAUACCGGAUAUGAGCUCCUGCUGCAUGGUGGGGGUUGGAAAGUUUCGGCGGUUGGGGAUGGACUCGCGGCUUAUCAGCUUGUUGGUGGGGUAGUGGCUUACCAAGGCUUUGACGGGUAGCCGGCCUGCGAGGGUGACCGGGCACAUUGGGACUGAGGUAGGGCCCAGACGGCUACGGGAGGCAGCAGUGGGGAAUAUUGCGCGAUGGGCGGAAGCCUGAUGGAGCAACGCCGGGUGCGGGAUGACGGCCUUCGGGUUGUAAACCGCUUUCGCCUGUGACGAAGCGUGAGUGACGGUAAUGGGUAAAGAAGCACCGGCUAACUACGUG